GGGGGGUUAGCUCAGCGGGAGAGCGCCUGCCUUACAAGCAGGAUGUCGGCAGUUCAAUCCUGCCACUCCCCA
rnacentral:tRNA from 1 species